rnacentral:rRNA from 1 species
UGGGGAAUAUUGGACAAUGGGGGCAACCCUGAUCCAGCCAUGCCGCGUGAGUGAUGAAGGCCUUAGGGUUGUAAAGCUCUUUCAACGGUGAAGAUAAUGACGGUAACCGUAGAAGAAGCCCCGGCUAACUUCGUGCCAGCAGCCGCGGUAAUACGAAGGGGGCUAGCGUUGUUCGGAAUCACUGGGCGUAAAGCGCGCGUAGGCGGAUUGUUAAGUUAGAGGUGAAAUCCCAGGGCUCAACCCUGGAACUGCCUUUAAUACUGGCAAUCUAGAGAUCGAGAGAGGUGAGUGGAAUUCCUAGUGUAGAGGUGAAAUUCGUAGAUAUUAGGAAGAACACCAGUGGCGAAGGCGGCUCACUGGCUCGAUACUGACGCUGAGGUGCGAAAGCGUGGGGAGCAAACAGGAUUAGAUACCCCCGUAGUCC